GCUGGUGUGGCUCAACGGUAGAGCAAUUGAUUUGUAAUCAAUGGGUUGUAGGUUCGAUUCCUAUCACCAGCUCCA
rnacentral:tRNA from 1 species